UACGGGGGGAGCAAGCGUUGUUCGGAUUUACUGGGCGUAAAGGGCGCGUAGGCGGCCACCGCAAGUCGACUGUGAAAUCUCCGGGCUUAACCCGGAAAGGUCAGCCGAUACUGCGGGGCUAGAGUGCAGAAGGGGCAACUGGAAUUCCCGGUGUAGCGGUGAAAUGCGCAGAUAUCGGGAAGAACACCCGUGGCGAAGGCGGCCUUCUGGACGGUGACUGACGCUGAGACGCGAAAGCGUGGGGAGCAAACAGG
rnacentral:rRNA from 1 species